UACGAGGGGGGCAAGCGUUGUUCGGAAUUAUUGGGCGUAAAGGGCGCGUAGGCGGUGCGGUAAGUCACCUGUGAAACCUCUAGGCUUAACCUAGAGCCUGCAGGCGAAACUGCCGUGCUUGAGGGUGGGAGAGGUGAGUGGAAUUCCCAGUGUAGCGGUGAAAUGCGUAGAUAUUGGGAGGAACACCAGUGGCGAAGGCGGCUCACUGGACCGGUUCUGACGCUGAGGCGCGAAAGCGUGGGGAGCAAACGGG
rnacentral:rRNA from 1 species